rnacentral:rRNA from 1 species
GACGAACGCUGGCGGCGUGCCUAAUACAUGCAAGUAGAACGCUGAAGGAGGAGCUUGCUUCUCUGGAUGAGUUGCGAACGGGUGAGUAACGCGUAGGUAACCUGCCUGGUAGCGGGGGAUAACUAUUGGAAACGAUAGCUAAUACCGCAUAAGAGUAGAUGUUGCAUGACAUUUGCUUAAAAGGUGCAAUUGCAUCACUACCAGAUGGACCUGCGUUGUAUUAGCUAGUUGGUGGGGUAACGGCUCACCAAGGCGACGAUACAUAGCCGACCUGAGAGGGUGAUCGGCCACACUGGGACUGAGACACGGCCCAGACUCCUACGGGAGGUAGCAGUAGGGAAUCUUCGGCAAUGGACGGAAGUCUGACCGAGCAACGCCGCGUGAGUGAAGAAGGUUUUCGGAUCGUAAAGCUCUGUUGUAAGAGAAGAACGAGUGUGAGAGUGGAAAGUUCACACUGUGACGGUAUCUUACCAGAAAGGGACGGCUAACUACGUG